rnacentral:rRNA from 1 species
UACGUAGGGGGCAAGCGUUGACCGGAUUUACUGGGCGUAAAGAGCGUGUAGGCGGCCAAGCAGGUCCGUUGUGAAAACUGGAGGCUUAACCUCCAGACGUCGACGGAAACCGCGUGGCUAGAGUCCGGAAGAGGAGAGUGGAAUUCCUGGUGUAGCGGUGAAAUGCGCAGAUAUCAGGAAGAACACCAAUGGCGAAGGCAGCCCUCUGGGACGGUACUGACGCUGAGACGCGAAAGCGUGGGGAGCGAACAGG